rnacentral:snRNA from 1 species
AUACUUACCUGGACGGGGUCGAUGGGUGAUCAAGAAGGCCCAUGACUUAGGUUGGUGACCUCCAUUGCACUGAGGAGGGGUGCCCGCCUAACAUCUCCCCAAGUGGGAGAGUGUACGUCAUAAUUUGUGGCAGCAGGGGGGUACGCGUUCGCGCGGCCCCUAC